rnacentral:rRNA from 1 species
CGGGAGCCCGAAGACAGGUGCUGCAUGGCUGUCGUCAGCUCGUGUCGUGAGAUGUUGGGUUAAGUCCCGCAACGAGCGCAACCCCCUAUCUCUAGUUGCCAGCGAUUCGGUCGGGGACUCUAGAGAUACUGCCCCGGUUAACGGGGAGGAAGGUGGGGAUGACGUCAAGUCCUCAUGGCCCUUAUGCCCAGGGCUACACACGUGCUACAAUGGGCGGUACAAAGGGUAGCGAUGCCGCGAGGUGAAGCCAAUCCCAAAAAGCCGUCCACAGUUCGGAUUGGAGUCUGCAACUCGACUCCAUGAAGCCGGAAUCGCUAGUAAUCGUGGAUCAGCAUGCCACGGUGAAUACGUUCCCGGGCCUU